rnacentral:lncRNA from 1 species
CUCCUGUGAGCGUUCCGCGAAAAUACAGCAUUUUGCACGCUACAAGCCGAUGUCUCAUUACAGGGGCAAUUCCAGAGCAAGGAGAAACAACGAGCUGCACUUACUGGGUUCCGGAGCAAGACGUUAAAAGCCGGAGUGCAGAUUGUGACUUCAUUUUCAAUGCGUACUGCACGUCCCCGGAAUUUUUCUCAUGCGAUGAAUACAGCAGAGAAACCAGCAACCUUGAGCUAAGCUGUGCGCCAGAUACCCUCUACUUAGUAGGGGCAUCUACUGCGAUGUGGGGUACAAAUAAGGUGAAGUGCAUGAAAUCACCAUUUCGUGGCAUCUAUACAAGAGGUUGUCUUCGCCAAGUAGUGUUCGACGAGACGACCGCCAUGACGGAAUCC